rnacentral:rRNA from 1 species
CCUACGGGAGGCAGCAGUGGGGAAUUUUCCGCAAUGGGCGAAAGCCUGACGGAGCAAUACCGCGUGAGGGAGGAAGGCUCUUGGGUCGUAAACCUCUUUUCUCUGGGAAGAUAAUGACGGUACCAGAGGAAUAAGCAUCGGCUAACUCCGUGCCAGCAGCCGCGGUAAUACGGAGGAUGCAAGCGUUAUCCGGAAUGAUUGGGCGUAAAGAGUCCGUAGGUGGUACAGAAAGUCUGUGGUUAAAGCGCGAAGCUCAACUUCGUAAAGGCCAUGGAAACUGCUGAACUAGAGUGAGAUAGGGGUAGAGGGAAUUCUUGGUGUAGCGGUGAAAUGCGUAGAUAUCAAGAAGAACACCGGUGGCGAAAGCGCUCUACUGGAUCUUAACUGACACUGAGGGACGAAAGCUAGGGGAGCGAAAGGGAUUAGAUACCCCUGUAGUCCUAGCCGUAAACGAUGGAUACUAGUUGUUGCGGGUAUCGACCCCUGCAGUGACGAAGCUAACGCGUUAAGUAUCCCGCCUGGGGAGUACGCACGCAAGUGUGAAACUCAAAGGAUUAGACGG